UACUCCAGCCUGAAAAGUAAUUGCAAGUCCUUGAGGCUCAUAAGGGAUUUGAGUCCUUUGCUGACUAAGGAUGCAGUUUAAAUAAAUGCACAUCGUUAAGCAGUUGUCUAUAUGGUUUUCCAGAGAUGCCAGCAGAAUUUUUGAGCCUCUGUAGGCCAGGUAUAAGGUGAAAAAAGCUGCAAGAAAAUGUUCUUCUCUACAGCUUUAAUGAAAGAAUCCCUCUUAUUGCUCCAAAUACAGGAAGGUGUCAUAAAGCAUCAUAAAGCCAAAGAGGAGACAAGGAAGCCUUGCUUCUGAUUUGAAUGGAAAGACUCUCGACUACCUCUGAGCAGGCAAUUAUCAAACUUGUCAAAUGCAACAAGCUUUGCUGAACUCCUCCCAUAGUCACUGCUGUUUGCAGUGAAUUCAGCAGAGUCAAAGGGAAAGAACAUGGUCAUGGCCAUGGAAGGACAAGAGGUCUGAGAUCAUGAUUCCUAAGACAAACAGAUCUGACUAGAGAGUUAUGUACCUUUGAUUUUCCCUGCAGGAUCCUGGCUCAAAGAUAUUUAAAUCACCUGAAUGUCAGCAUACUCAGUGCAGUGU